UACGUAGGGGGCAAGCGUUGUCCGGAUUUAUUGGGCGUAAAGAGCUCGUAGGCGGUUUGUCGCGUCGAAUGUGAAAACCCGGGGCUCAACCCCGGGCCUGCAUUCGAUACGGGCAGACUAGAGUUCGGUAGGGGAGUCUGGAAUUCCUGGUGUAGCGGUGAAAUUCGUAGAUAUCAAGCGGAACACCGGUGGCGAAGGCGGCCUUCUGGACGAUGACUGACGCUGAGACGCGAAAGCGUGGGGAGCAAACAGG
rnacentral:rRNA from 1 species